AUUGAACGCUGGUGGCAUGCCUUACACAUGCAAGUCGAACGGUAACGCGGGGCAACCUGGCGACGAGUGGCGAACGGGUGAGUAAUAUAUCGGAACGUGCCCAGUAGUGGGGGAUAGCCCGGCGAAAGCCGGAUUAAUACCGCAUGAGACCUGAGGGUGAAAGCGGGGGAUGGCAAGACCUCGCGCUAUUGGAGCGGCCGAUAUCAGAUUAGCUAGUUGGUGGGGUGAAGGCCUACCAAGGCAACGAUCUGUAGUUGGUCUGAGAGGACGACCAGCCACACUGGGACUGAGACACGGCCCAGACUCCUACGGGAGGCAGCAGUGGGGAAUUUUGGACAAUGGGCGCAAGCCUGAUCCAGCAAUGCCGCGUGCAGGAAGAAGGCCUUCGGGUUGUAAACUGCUUUUGUCAGGGAAGAAAUCUUCUGGGUUAAUACCUCGGGAGGAUGACGGUACCUGAAGAAUAAGCACCGGCUAACUACGUGCCAGCAGCCGCGGUAAAAC
rnacentral:rRNA from 1 species